rnacentral:rRNA from 1 species
GACGAAGGAUGCAAGCGUUAUCCGGAUUCAUUGGGUUUAAAGGGCGCGUAGGCGGAUUUGUAAGUCAGUGGUGAAAUCUCUUCGCUUAACGAAGAAACUGCCAUUGAUACUGCAGAUCUUGAGUACAGUUGCCGUUGGCGGAAUAUGACAUGUAGUGGUGAAAUACUUAGAUAUGUCAUAGAACACCGAUUGCGAAGGCAGCUAACGAAGCUGUAACUGACGCUGAGGCUCGAAAGUGCGGGGAUCAAACAGG